CGUUCGCGUUGUUUACUAAUUGUUUCGAAAUUUUCAACGUGGAUCCUUCCAAGUUCGAUAGAACAUUGGAUAGAUAGGAACGCGUUCAAUUUCGAACAAUCGUGUCUUACGCAUCGACGUUCCGGUCUUUCAGCGCCUGAUGCGACUAUCGUGACUUUCUUCUGGCUAUCUAUCGAUCUGGCCGUUUCAAUAAGCGUGAAAAAUCGUUAGUAUUUUUAUUACGAUUAUCAGAUAACUCGGAUAAAGGGACUGGAAAUCGUUUAAACUUAUUGCGCCAAUGAAUUGUCAUUAUCGACGUAUGAUAUCGACGUACGAUGAUAAAGACCUCGUCUUCAACCGAUUAUUGCUAUAGGUGUGUUACAAACAUCACGCAAUUUACAAACAUACUGAGAUAAUCGUUGCGUAGUAAAAAUCGGCUAUCGUAAAAAACUCGUGUGGACGAUAAAAUUCAAUGAAAUUCUAUUCAACGAAUAGCUACGCCGAUCACUGUGACGUUUAGCGGCCAUGACGAAAUCUCGAAAAUAACAGGAGCCUGAGCUAUUUAAUUCUCCGAACGUAUUCAACGAUCACGAGAACUGUCUUUUUUCGCCAUAAUGGACUAACGAAAACCGUGCUCGAGACUGAUAUCUGCUUGAUAAAUCAUCGUCUGUACGCAACGGUUCAACGACGGAGAGCGAACAUCGAAGAACUCUGGCAUCGUCGUGGCUCUCAUCUAAAGCUUGGCAACCGCUCACUACCUGGCAACAAUUGCACCCAACGUUGUUUACCGACCUGUUCGUUAUCAGCUCAAAUAAACUAUUCGAUUAUCUUCGUU
rnacentral:lncRNA from 1 species